GGGGAUGUAGCUCAGUGGCAGAGCCCUUGCCCAGCAAGACCAAAGGCCUGGGUUCAUUCCCCAGCAUUUCAA
rnacentral:tRNA from 1 species